rnacentral:rRNA from 1 species
CAGCGCCACAAGUGGUGACCAGCAUUAUUGGGCCUAAAGCGUCCGUAGCAGGAAAAACAAAUCUUUUGUGAAACUGUUCAGCUCAACUGAACAACGUGCAGGAGACACUAUUUUUCUAGAGACCGGGAGGAGUCAGAGGUAUUUUUGGGGGAGCGGUAAAAUGCUAUAAUCCCAAAAGGACCACCGAUGGCGAAGGCAUCUGACUAGAACGGAUCUGACUGAGGGACGAAGGCCAGGGGAGCGAACCGGAUUAGAGACCCGAGUAGUCC